UGGGUCGGAUUCUGGGCUAACCCG
rnacentral:siRNA from 1 species